CCUACGGGUGGCAGCAGUGAGGAAUAUUGGUCAAUGGACGCAAGCCUGAACCAGCCAAGCCGCGUGAAGGAUGACGGCCCUAUGAGUUGUAAACUGCUUUUGUACGGGAGUAAAGUCAAUUUGGUAUACCGCUGUGAAUGUACCGUACGAACAAGGAUCGGCUAACUCCGUGCCAGCAGCCGCGGUAAUACGGAGGAUGCGAGCGUUAACCGGAUUUAUUGGGUUUAAAGGGUGCGUAGGCGGGAUGUUAAGUCAGGGGUGAAAUCCCCCGGCUCAACGUGGGAAUUGCAUUUGAUACUGGCAAACUAGAGAGUAGUAGAGGAUAGCGGAAUGCAUGGUGUAGCAGUGAAAUGCGUAGAUAUC
rnacentral:rRNA from 1 species